AUGGCUGCAACACAUGACAAACAAGUUGGGAAAGGUGGAAAAAAAAUACUGAGAAAUUUGAGGAAUGCUCAUCAAACACCUAUUUGGAACAUCCCACAGGUGAGCAGGCUUAUUGGGAACAGGUGGGUGCCAUGAUUGGGAAUAUAAGCAGCUUCCCCAAAAAUGUUCAGUCAUUCACAAGCAAGGAUGGGGCGAGGUUCACCACUUUGUGAACAACUGCAUCAGCAAAUAGUUUAACAGUUUAAGAACAACGUUUCUCAAAGUAUAAUUGCAAGGAAUAUAGGGAUUUUGACAUCUGCGGUCCAUAAUAUCAUCAAAAGAUUCUGAGAAUCUGAAGAAAUCACUGCACGUAAGCGGUUCGGCCUGAAACCAACAUUGAAUGCCCGUGACCUUCGAUCCCUCAGACAGCAACUGUAGCAAAAACCGACAUUGAUGUGUAAAGGACAUCACCACAUGGGCUCAGGAACACUUCAGAAAACCACUGUCAGUAAAUACAGUUUGUCGCUAAAUCUAUAAGUGCAAGUUAAAACUCUACUAUGCAAAGGUGAAGUCAUUUAUCUACAACAUCCAGAAACACCACAGGCUUUUCUGGGCCCGAGCUCAUCGAAGAUGGACUGAUGCAAAGUGUAAAAGUGUUCUGUGGUCUGACAAGUCCACAUUUCAAAUUGUUUUUGGAAAUGGUGGACGUUGUGUCCCGGACUGUUUUAAACGCAAAGUUCAAAGGCCAGCAUCUGUGAUGGUAUGGGGGUGCAUUAGUGCCAAAGGCAUGGGUAACUUACACAUCUGUGAAGGCAACAUUAAUGCUGAAAGGUACAUGCAGGUUUUGGAGCAACACAUGCUGCCGUCCAAGCAACGUCUUUUUCAUGGACGUCCCUGCUUGUUUCAAAAAGGCAAUGCCAAGCCACAUUCUGCACGUGUUACAACAGCGUGUCUUAGUAGUAAAAGAGAGCAGGUACUUGACUGGCCUGCCUGCAGUUGAGACCUGUCUCCCGUUGAAAAUCUGUGGUGCAUUAUGAAGCGUAAAAUCAAAACCCAACAGUCAUUGCCAGGGACCCAGAACUGGAGACUUUUAGGCUGGGUGGAUAAAAAAUUGAUGGUUGGAAAAUUAAGCAGAAGUUAUCUUGUUUGUGUUAUUACAUUUUGGAGGAGUUGACAGGUAUAGACCAGGCUUGGAGUGGGAGUUGAACCAGCAACCUUUGUAUCACAGCAUUUCAUAUGAGGAACUUCCUACAGUCCUCUGCUCUACCAACUGAGCUAUCAAGGUGCUCUCAUCCACAACUGCAGAAAACAUAGUGGCUGAGACGACACACUAUGCUCACACAACUAUUCCACCCACAUGGUCAAUGAAAAGCCCAGCCCAACCUGCAGAACAAAGCUUUGCAGUUUGAACCCAACAGUCAUUGCCAGGGACACAGAACUGGAGACUUUUAGGCUGGGUGAAUAAAAAAUUGAUGGUUAUAAAAUUAAGCAGAAGUUAUGUUGUUUGUGUUUUUACAUUUUGGUGGAGUUGACAGGUAAAGACCAGGCUUGGGGUGGGAGUUGAACCAGCAACCUCAGGAUAACAGCAUUUCAUAUGAGGAACUUCCUUCAUCUUCUGCUCUACCAACUGAGCUAUCAAGGUGCUCUCAUCCACAACUGCAGAAAACAUAGUGGCUGAGACGACACACUAUGCCCACCCACAUGGUCAAUGAAAAGCCCAGCCCUACCUGCAGAACAAAGCUUUGCAGUUUGAACCCAACAGUCAUUGCCAGGGACCCAGAACUGGAGACUUUUAGGCUGGGUGAAUAAAAAAUUGAUGGUUGGAAAAUUAAGCAGAAGUUAUGUUGUUUGUGUUUUUACAUUUUGGAGGAGUUGACAGGUAAAGACCAGGCUUGGAGUGGAAGUUGAACCUGCGACCUUCGGACCACAGCUUUUCAUAUGAGGAGGUUCCUAGAGUCCUCUGCUCUACCAACUGAGCUAUCAAGGUGCUCUCAUCCACAACUGCAGGAAACAUAGUGGCUGAGACGACACACUAUGCCCACCCACAUGGUCAAUGAAAAGCCCAGCCCUACCUGCAGAACAAAGCUUUGCAGUUUGAACCCAACAGUCAUUGCCAGGGACCCAGAACUGGAGACUUUUUGGCUGGGUGAAUAAAAAAUUGAUGGUUGGAAAAUUAAGCAGAAGUUAUCUUUUUUGUGUUUUUACAUUUUGGAGGAGUUGACAGGUAAAGACCAGGCUUGGAGUGGAAGUUGAAACAGCGAACUUGGCACACCUGAACACAAGGUAUGCAGACAUGUGCGCAUGUUGCAAUAUUGACACAUUGCAAGGGGCGAUCUUCCGAACUUCCAUGUUUAGCUCUUCGUAGAGUCAAACAAUGGCGGAAAAUUUUAUUGAGAGCCCAGUUGGCUAUCUGCCCCCUACAUGAUACCGCCAGUAUCCAAUGUUGCCAAUUUAGCGACUUUGUUGCUAGAUUUAGCGACUUUUGGCCAUCUCUGGCGACUAAAACCUCAUCUAGCAACUUAGCAGCUUUUUAGGUGAAUCUGGCGACUUUAAAAAAAAGCAACCCUCGAGUGUCAAAAUCAUUGUUUUUCAAUGUAACUUCAGCUUUGCACUGCCACCAGAAGCUUAUUUCAUGGUUAAGCAGCACUACGCAUUAGCCCCGAUCUCGAAACUGUACCCUUUGGGAUUGUCAUCAUAGCCAUGUAGACACAUUUUCUUGAGCUCAGUGAGUCGUGACUGAUGUUUUGACAUCAUAGUCACGUCAUGACGUAAUCUAGCGACUUUUCAGAGAACCAAUAGCGACUUUUGGUGACUUGUUUUUGGCAACACUACCAGUAUCGUGCAUAGUGCUCUGAUCGUUCUGCUGCAAGUAUGUGUGGUUGCGCACGUAAAUUAAGUCACACAGCUAGCAUAUCCUGGGCCUUAGGGCUCACUGAAAGGACUUUCAUUCAAAACCCUUGGUAAAUCAGAGGCCCUUUAAGAACAUUUGUAAUCAGAGGGCUCUCUUAACAGUAUGCUCUCCCAUUAGGGCUCUCCCUAGGGGCCUCCACAUAGCCAGAAGUCACGACCCUUAGCAGGGGCUUUCAUAAUCAUAGGGCCCUCUGAAAGCAUUCCCCCCUACUUCCUUGAACCCCUAGUUGGUAAACGUUAGGGCUCCCUUAGGAGUAUUCACAAGAGGCACUACAGCAGGGCCAGCCCAGGGGCCCUCUGACUGCCAUCCCCCAAAGCCCAGGGGCGCUCUGAUUGCCGUCUCUGUCCCCCUCGCCCAAUUCGUAUCACCCUUCUCUCUCGGUUCUCUUCAGAUAUGCCCUAUAACAGUGUGAGUAGUCAUAAGAUCCUAGAGAAUAGAGGCCCUUUGACAUCGCAAUUGGCAU